GAAAAAACGCUAAAACAAAAACUCACGCUCGCUCUUUCCGAAACCCUUCUCUCGCGAUCUGCUUGUGCGGCCAUCUUCUUCUCCAACUGAAAACUUCGUCAAAGCUUUACUUUUUGGAUAAAAAGCUUGCCUCUGUGAUGGGUAUUUGAGCUUCUGCCUUCCUAGGUUAUAAUCAAAGUGAAUCUUCAUCUAAUUUGACAUGGGUAUUCGAUUUCAACGACCGCGUCGGUGCUGGCCAUGAAAACCCAGAACCCAACCACGACCAGCGUCCACUGCUUCACGGUGGUGUGUUGUAAAACCAAAAAAAAAAAGUGUUGUUGUAGAAUUAGUGAAGGAAUGCGAUAAUAAUUCUGCAAUCCGUCCAAGACCCAAUUCUGUAAUCCUUCCAAUUCUGCAAUUUCUCAUACGAGCUCAAGUCUUGCAAUCUCUUAUUGAGUAAAUCUUGCAUCUCUCGUUGUGUGGAGAUGUUUUAGUUGCUGCUGCUGCUGCUGAGCUCCCAAAACAAUUGGGUAAUCACCAUUUUUCUUCCUUUUUUUUAACUUUUUUAUUUUCCUUCCAAUAACCAAGAUUUGCUCUGGGGCGGAGGCGAAGUCAGUUCGUGCUUGCAUAUGGGUAUUUUGGAUUGAAUAAGUUUUGUUUAUGGUGAUUGUGGUUGCAAAUUGGAUGAUUUUGGAUUGAAUAAAUUUUGGCAUUGGGCAA